GAUCAUGGCUCAGGAUGAACGCUGGCGGCGUGCCUAACACAUGCAAGUCGAGCGAUUCUCUUCGGAGAAGAGCGGCGGACGGGUGAGUAACGCGUGGGUAACCUGCCUCAUACACAUGGAUAACAUACCGAAAGGUAUGCUAAUACAGGAUAAUAUAAGAGAUUCACAUGGAUUUCUUAUCAAAGCUCCGGCGGUAUGAGAUGGACCCGCGUCUGAUUAGCUAGUUGGUAAGGUAACGGCUUACCAAGGCGACGAUCAGUAGCCGACCUGAGAGGGUGAUCGGCCACAUUGGAACCGAGACACGGUCCAAACUCCUACGGGAGGCAGCAGUGGGGAAUAUUGCACAAUGGGCGAAAGCCUGAUGCAAGCAACGCCGCGUGAGUGAUGAAGGCCUUCGGGUCGUAAAACUCUGUCCUCAAGGAAGAUAAUGACGGUACUUGAGGAGGAAGCCCCGGCUAACUACGUGCCAGCAGCUGC
rnacentral:rRNA from 1 species